rnacentral:tRNA from 1 species
AUCCUCAUGGCGUAGUGGUAACGCGCCCCAACUAGAGAUCGGGGAGUCGUGAGUUCGAUUCUCACUGAGAAGA